rnacentral:rRNA from 1 species
GACGAACCGUGCAAACGUUAUUCGGAAUCACUGGGCUUAAAGGGCGCGUAGGCGGGCCGCCAGGUCCGGGGUGAAAGCCUCCAGCUCAACUGGAGAAGUGCCUUGGAUACCGGCGGCCUCGAGGGAGGUAGGGGCGUGCGGAACUUCGGGUGGAGCGGUGAAAUGCGUAGAUAUCAGGAGGAACACCAAUGGCGAAGGCAGGUGACUAGACCCGUAUUGACGCUCAUCCACGAAAGCUGGGGGAUCAAACAGG